rnacentral:rRNA from 1 species
AUACAGGGGGUGCAAGCGUUGUUCGGAAUUACUGGGCGUAAAGGGUGCGUAGGUGGUUUCUUAAGUCAGGAGUGAAAGGCUACGGCUCAACCGUAGUAAGCUCUUGAAACUGGGAAACUUGAGUGCAGGAGAGGAAAGUGGAAUUCCUAGUGUAGCGGUGAAGUGCGUAGAUAUUAGGAGGAACACCAGUGGCGAAGGCGGCUUACUGGACUGUAACUGACGCUGAGUCACGAAAGCGUGGGUAGC